ACAUCCUCCCCCAGCGCAGCCACACGCACGAGGCGUGCAGCCACGGGCGUCGGGCGUGUGCGGCUUCACCGGCGCUGCUCGGUCGCAUGGCUCUGCUGCUAACGGUGUGGACUAGCCACAUCCUACUGCUACUACUGCAAGAUAAAUAGAUCAAGGUGAAUAGAUGCUCAUGGACUGAUUCAAACCGAGGUGAAGAUAGACAAGAAGUCAAGCAAGAAGGGCUAACACAACAAGGUACUUGAUUAGUACCUGAUGGCGCAUGCAACCCAAAGGGCUUCACCGCAGUGAAGGACAACAGUGUGGCAGAAGGUGAAAAGGCAAGUGGUGGUGGUACUCCAGUGUAUGUGUGCGUGUGAGGUGGAAUGGACCACAGUGAAAGGAAUGGCUCCUAUUUAUAGUGGGGUUAGUAGCUAUGUCGGUUUGGAGAGGCAUUACAUCUGGCAUGCAUGCGUGGUUAGGCUUGCAUGCAUGCCUCCACUUGUGUCUCUUGUAGGCUGUACUAGGGACAAGUGUAAUUUGCUUGACUGGCCAUUAGUUGGCAUUUACUUUAUGUGGAAAAAAAUGAGACCAAGAUCUGAUUAUAAAUUUGUAGAAUAUAUGGAGGUUUGGAAAA